AUGUAUAGCACAUUUUCUAAGGUAGAUGAACGUGCUGCAGGCGGAUCAUCCAUUUUUGUGAAGGACAACGUCAUUCAUAGCACAGUCCAACUCACAACGGAUCUGCAAGCAGUUGCAAUUCGUUUAUCAUUAGACAAAACAAUUACAUUAUGUUCGAUAUAUAUUCCACCUAAUUCAAUUAUCGAUAAAGCAAAACUCAAAAACCUCACUGAUCAAUUACCCUCACCAUUUAUACUUAUGGGCGACUUCAAUGCCCACAAUCCAUUAUGGGGUAGCAAGACUCAUAAUGCCAAAGGUAAGAUCAUUGAGGACUUUGUCUCUCAAGGAAGGAUUAUGCAUUUUUAAUGAUGGAUCUAAUACGUAUCUUCAUCCUGGAAACGGGUCUUAUUCUUCUAUUGAUAUCACUAUAUGCGAUCCCUCUCUGCUUCUGGAUUAUUCAUGGCGUGUUCAUGAUGAUCUAUGUGGAAGUGAUCACUUUCCAAUAGUACUUGGAACAUCUUUUAAAUUCUGCCCAACGGAGAGUGCCACGUUGGAAGCUUGGCAGGGCGGGCUGGUCCUUGUUUGAGAGUCUCUGUCGAACGGAACUUCGGUCAAAGAUGUUUGAGACUGUGCAAAGAUCCAAUUUUAAACUUUUAAUACAGUUCUAACGUCAAUUGCUGACAGAACUAUUCCUAAGACCUCGGCAAAUCCAAACAUCCCAGUAAACCAUGGUUUGAUGACGCAUGUGAUCAAGCCAUAGGUGACCGUAAAAAAUCUGAAAGGACGGUUCAAUCAACAACCAACGACGGAAAACUUGAGUAAUUUCCGUAUUUUUCGCGCUAAGGGCACGGCGGACUUGUAGGGCAAGGCCCGACGAACAUCCUGGGAAAAAAUUUGUCUCUGGGAUUACAUCUCGCACUCCGAUGACAAAAGUUUGGAAUAUGGUAAAUAAAAUAAAAGGUAAAAAUUCUAAAGCCACUGUAAAACAUUUGAAAGACGGCAAUAAUUUAUUAACAUCUGAAAAGGAUAUUGCCAACAAACUUGGUGGAAACUUUUGCGAAGUCUUCUUCUUGUAACAAGCUACAGGGAAGACUUUAAAAAAGUUAAAAAACAAAAAGAAAAAAAAUAAAUUAAACUUUAAAUCAAAAAAUGGUGAAAAUUAUAAUAAACUAUUUUCUCUUGAAGAACUUAAAACAUCUCUGUCAAAAGCCCAUGAUACAGCUUGUGGGCCUGAUAAUAUUCACUACCAACUCUUAAAACACUUGCCAGAUUCCUCGCUAGAAGCUCUCUUGCAGCUCAUGAAUAACAUCUGGGAAUCUGGUGAUUUACCAUCAAUCUGGAAGCUUGCAACCGUCGUGCCUAUUCCAAAACCAAGUAAAGAUCAUACGGAUCCUAUUAAUUAUCGACCAAUUGCUCUUACCAGUUGUGUCUGUAAAAACACUCGAACGGAUGGUCAAUAAUCGCCUUGUUUGGUUCCUGGAAUCCAAUGGGCUAUUAACCAAUAUCCAGUGUGGAUUCCGACAGGGUCGCAGUACUCUUGAUCAUCUUGUUCGAUUCGAAUCAUUUUGUCCGUAAUGGUUUUGCGAAAAAUGAGCAUGUGGUGUCGGUCUUUUUCGACCUUGAGAAGGCCUAUGAUACUGCAUGGAAAUAUGGUAUUUUAAAAGAUCUAUUUGAUAUGGGGUUGAAAGGCAAUAUGCCUAAUUUUAUUUCUAAUUUUCUCUCUAACAGACAAUUUAAUGUUAGAGUUAAUUCGACCAUGUCUGAUCUUUAUGAUCAAGAGAUGGGUGUCCCUCAGGGCAGUAUUUUAUCUGUUACAUUAUUUAGUCUUAAAAUCAACAGCCUUGUUGAAGUUUUAAAAAGUAAUAUUGAAGGUUCAUUGUACGUUGAUGAUUUUUUAAUAUGUUACAGAGGCAAAAAUAUGAAUAACAUUGAAAGACAAUUACAAUUAUGUCUUUGGAAGAAUUGAAAAAUGGGCCUCGGAAAAAUGGUUUUAAAUUUUCCACUUCAAAAACGGUCGGGAUGCAUUUUUGUAACAAAAGAAAAUUGCAUCUUGAUCCAGAACUAACUUUGUACGGCAACCCAAUUAAAAUGGUUGAUGAAACCAAAUUUCUUGGUUUACUUUUCGAUAAAAAGUUAACCUUUCUGCCCCAUAUCAAAAUGUUUAAAAAGCGAGAUGUUUAAAAGCUUUAGAUAUUUUAAAAGUUGUCGGCAGCACUGACUGGGGUGCUGAUCGCAACAUUUUACUAAAUUUAUAUAGAUCUCUUGUUAGAUCUAAACUAGAUUAUGGCUCUGCAAGGAAGUCCUACAUACAGAUUCUCGAUGCUGUGCAUCACCAAGGUUUGCGUCUCUGUCUUGGCGCAUUUAAAACCUCACCAGUUGAGAGUCUGUAUGUAGAGGCUGAUGAGCACUCGCUCACUGACAGACGUUUGAAGCUUGGACUUCAAUAUUCUGUCAAACUAAAAGCCCAUUCAGAUAAUCCUGCCUACAGCUGUGUUUUUAAUCCGAUUUAUGAAGAUAUUUUUUGCAAAAACAUGAAAUUAAAAUUCCUCCGUUAGGUAUUACGUUUAAAACCACAUUUAGCUUCUUUUUGAUUUAAAAUCUGUUGCUCAAGUUCAAACUUGCAAAUGUCCUCCAUGGGAACUUCCCAAACCAUAAAUGAUAUUUGAUCUCCGUGAACACAAUAAAAAUAAAACAAAUCCUCUUUUAAUUCAGCAACACUAUGCUGAAAUUAAAGCCGAUUAUCUAGAUUUUUCAACUGUCUAUACUGAUGGAUCAAAAGAUGGUGAUAGAGUUGCAUCUGCUGCUGUCUUCAGGGACAGAGCUGCAACCCUCCGUUUGCCAUCUGAUGCAUCCAUCUUUACUGCUGAAGCAGAAGCAAUAAUUUUGGCUUUGAAAUUUAUUGCUUCUUCAGAUAAAUCCAAAUUUAUUAUAUGUUCGGAUUCACUUUCAUGUUUACAAGCUAUACGAAAUACUAAAAUUAAAAACCCAACAAUCCUGAAAAUUUUAUAUGUAAUGAGGAAUUUAAAAAUUCUUCUGAAAGAAAUAAUAUUUCUAUUGGUUCCGAGUCAUGUUGGAAUCCUUGGAAAUACAGCUGUAGACCGUGAGGCAAAGAAUGCCCUGGGUGACCCUCUAUCGAACUGUGAUAUACCAUAUACUGAUUUUAAAUCUAAUAUUAGGGAAUAUGUUUUUAAUAUAUUGAAAAAUAAAUGGAGUAAAAAAGAUGAUAAUAAAUUGCAUGAAAUUAAACCUAAUUUAGGCAAACCUUUUAAUAAUAUUAUGUGCAGAAAAGAUCAGUGUGUUAUUACUAGAUGUCCGUAUUGGGUCAUACUAGAAUAACACACGAGUAUCUUUUAAAAAAUGAAGAUGAACCACAAUGUGUUCCUUGCAACUGCAAGUAUACUAUUAAACAUGUUUUAAUUAAUUGUAUUGACUUUCAAAUUGCUGAUAUUCGUAAGAAGCAUUUCAAUGUCAAUAAUAUGUAUGAUUUAUUUAAAAAUGUUCCAUUUACAAAUAUUGUUGCUUUUUUAAAAGAAAUUGGAAUUUAUUAUAGAAUAUAAAAUUGUUAUUAUAUUUAAAUCGAUUUUAAUUUUUAUCACGUUAUUUUACUGUUGAUUUUUAUUUGUAUAUACUCAAUUUGCUUGUUCAUGAUACACUAGAACAACCGGAUGUUUAAAAUGUAAUCCGCGGUAACGUUUCAAAACAUAUGUAAUCAAGUUCAUUGAUAAAUAUUACUUCUUUAAUUAUUUAGUUUACUUAACGGUUUUCCAUUAAAAAAUUUAAAAUAAUAGUUUUAAGAAAACAAUCUUGAAUAAAAUUAGUUGAAUGAUCCUUGAUUGCACCUCCGAGCUUUUCCGAAGUUUAUCGAAGCGGAAUGGGGAUCAUCUCAAGGUUUCAUGAGGUGUUAAUGUAACAUGUCAUCAAUCUUUCGAAUUUUGUUUAAAAUUUUGAAAACUUUUACUCACGUCCAAACGCAUAACUCUCUAUUGGAAUUUUCCAGUAACGUUUAUCAUCGAAACUGCAAAGUCCCUUUUUCACAAUUGUGUCUAUGAAAAGCUGAUAGUUUUUACUCCUAAAUCAAAUUCAUCGAAUUUAAAGUGACAGUUUCAUUCAACAAGCACUUUUUGUAAUUUUCAUGUCUGAGUGUAUUUUUAAUUUCACAUUUAGCAAUCCCUUUAACCACUUUUUUCUCCACCUGAUAUUUAUUUAUCCGUCCAUCUUCUCAUUUUUCAGUCGUAUCAUAUUUUAAACUACAUUUUGGAACGUAAACCUACAAAUUCUUUGAUGGGAACGCCUGAAAGUAUAUAUUUUAUUUUACUAUGAGAAUAAUUACGAAAGGUAUAUAUAAUAUACAUAAAUCAGGGCUAGGAAACGACUGCAUGAUCUCUAUAGAUUAGUGAAACUUACAAAGUAGCGAUUAACAAAUGAUAAAUUAUGUAAUAAAUAGGUUUUUAAUCUAGAAUGAUAUAUUAUAACUAAUACAUUUCAUUUCAAUGAAAUAAUGGUUGCACCUAGAGAAAUUCGAGCGAGUAUAAGUAAAUACGGAUGGAGUAAAAUAGAAAGAAUUGCUUUCCCUAGCAGAAUAAGAUCCUGGACGCCGUUGUGUUCGAAUAGAGAUUGAGGAAUUUCACUAUUUUCUAGAUAUAUAUUUGUAACAUACAUCACUAAUUCAUUCUUUAUAAAAGAUCACUUCAUUGGCAACCUUUUCAUAUAGAAUUCAUCAGAUGAAACUGGAGAUACGCUAUUAACUUUGCCUGCAAGUUCAUCUUUCAUAUUCCCUGGCACCUUCUUAAAAUUCUUAUGAAAAUAAUGGAUGGAUUUCUGGAUAAUUUGAAGUGUCCAAGUGCUCUUUAAUGGUAUGCAUGUCCUGGUAUACGUCUUUGGUUCUGAUUUCAUAACAUGAGUCUAAAGAGCAAGAAAAAAAAAUACACUUAAAUAUAUAACAGUCCAUUUCACAAGCAAAGACAGAAGAAUAAUAAUAAUAGAAGAUUUUUAACUUGUAAUUUCUUUCAUACAUAUCUUAAGUAAGUUAGGAUAUCUAAAAAAUAAAAAUCUGCCAUGAAAUUAAAAAUAAAUAAAACUAAUUUAACAGUUGUGAAUGAGGCUUAAAGGUGGAAAUAGUAGAAGAGUAAAGUAAUACCUGUUUCUAUUUUCUACGGGGCCGAAAAUGGAAAACACUCAAUCAGUAUUUGCAUUCGAUCAGAAAAUAAACACGAGUGGGAACAUCGAGUUCCGAUGUAGUUUUGGAAGAAAACAGGCUUUAGUUCUGCGGCGGCAUAGAUUUAUUUUAUAUAUAUAUAGAACUAUAUGAUAACCGACUAGAUAAGAUUUCCUUUGUUUGUAAAUGUUGUACUUUUACUUGUUCGGCUUUAUAAAUAUUUUGGUAGGAACGUCUUAUGUAGACGAAACGCAGUCUCACUGGACCGCCACAUGAGAGCCCAAGUCAGCUACCAAAUCUGGCUACCAAAUCUGACUUGGGUUUUCACCUCCACAAAUUUGUUCAUUAUUGAAACUUUACAAAAAUAGAUGCGUAUGAAAGAUGUAAUAUCGCUUUUGGCUUUCUAAAAGUAAGUACCUGUCAAAGGUAGAAACAAACAACAUUCUUUCAAAAUUCAAGUCACGUUGGUAGAUGUAUUAAAGGACUGUCUUUCUCAGACAGUCCGGAUUAUAACAUGAUCAGUUAUGAAGAAAACGUUUACCAGUUCAGCCAUUGUUUGCCGUUAUUGUGUGCCUUGUCUAAUUUGUUGGGUUGCUGACUAACUUGACUUUUCGAUAGUCUAACACCUGGGAAUUGGUGUCAUAACCAGGAUAAUUCUUAUAUUCGUAAUCAGUUAAGCGAUUUUUCUGAUCUUUUGUUACUUUCUCAUAUUGGCUGAGCAAGACAUAGGACAAGCGUUCAAUAACCUAGCUUUCCAACUGCCAGGGUUAUCAAACAAAUUAGGGGCACAAGGGGUUAAUCAAAUCAUUCCAAAAUUUUCGUCGGGGUGCUACAAAGUUUAGGAUAUGGAUCAAACAAAUUGAAAAAUAUAUUGUUUUAGCAGGGUUGGGCAGAAACGAAGCGAAAAUGGUAGCAUACCAAGCUAAUGACCCGCCGGUUAGUGAUUUCAUCCAUAGUAGGAUAGAGUAAAAUGACGGGGAUGAAACUUUUGGUGGAAUGAGUUAAAACCUCAAUUAAUUGGGAGAUUUUCGGAAGUUUCAGAUCCACAACACGCUUUUCACCUUUUACGCAAAAUUAAGCAAAAACAUGGUGAAAACGUCCCCAUCUUCGCGGACAGACUGUAUAAUCUCGCGGACGAGGUAUUUAGGGAUCAGAACGUAAAUUUACCAAUAAUACAAAAACAAGUGGUAAACUUUUUCAUAAAUGGCCUGUCGUAAGACUACCUGAAAUUGAGAAUAAUAAUGUCAAAUCCAGACACCUUUCAAGGUGCGGUUGCGAUGAAUGAAUAAAAUUUGAGAAAAAGGUUUGAAUUGAGAGGGGAACCCCCGAAAAGUAGGCAUUUUGAAGUACAGGCUGCGAUUGAAGAAGCAAUGGAAGUAGACCAUUAUAGAAAUUCUAAACGAUGCUCUAAUUGUAAUAAUAUAGGACAUAGAUCUAGGGAUUGUAGGGCAAGAAAACUCCUAAAUUUAAUAAAGAAAUAGAAUGCUGGAAAUGUGGAAGAAAAGGUCACAUAAAAAGAUUUUGUAGGGUUAGGACUUUUGAGAAACAAGAGAAUAUAUGUCAGGGAAACAAUUCGAUAAUAAUUGCGAAAUAGACGCUCCUCUUGAAUACAAAAGUAUUAUCGAAAAAAGUAAGAACAAGACAUUUUUGCUGCACAAGAUUCAGAAUUAGGUCACACUGACACGGUAAAAAUGGAAAUAGAAACAGGAAAUCACCCUCCCAUUAAAUUAAAACCAUAUAGAACACCCUUACAUAAGAGACCAAUAGUAGAUAAGGCAAUUGAUGAAAUGCUUGAUGCUCGGGUCAUAAGAAGAUCAAAAAGGAUUACCACACAGUGUUCAACUUGUUUAUUCAUCCACUUUUAUUUCCAUAUAGUAUAGGAGAUGAAGUGUGAGAAAAAAAAACAAUAAUAAAUUCAGAUGAUAUACCAUUAAUGGAAUUAUCUAAAAAGAAAUAAGGGGGAAGAAAAUUUUCUUAGAACAAGAUAAUGUCAAUAAUAGUCAAAUAGAAAGUGAUGAGCAAGUCAUAAAAGAAGAAGUAGAAAAUUCGCCUUCAGAUAAUGACGUCUCUGACAUUGAUGAUAACAUGUCUAGCACUCAUUGUUCGUCUGUAACAUCAGAAAUGUACGACAUGGAAGAUAACAUGUCUGUAAAUAGGGUUAAAAUAAAAAAUAAUCAGAACUAACGAAACAAAAUUGGUAUCUAAGGAACAUGUACACAAUUUGGUGAGGGCUUUAAUAGGCAUUAUGUAGGUAUCAAUUGGCUUUAUAGGUGUAGGAAGGAUGCAAAUCAUUUAAGAAUUUCUAAAACUUAUAAAAUAUGUAAUAAAACUAGUAUUUAUUGUCAUUUUACAGAAUGGCAGACAAUGAAGAUGUUUUAGCCCAGCUAGAACCCCUUUCUCUGUGGAAAUUAUUACCUCGUUUAGUAGUGUGGCACAUAUAUAAAUUGUUUAAGACCAAUUUUUGGAGGGAAAAACUAGAUCGCAAAAGAAGGGAACCUCUAUUUAAAGAAUUCCACGCAAUACAGAAGCUGAGAAACCUGUCGGAUCCAAUUAUUAUCGACAAUUUUUGUGGUUUACCGACAAAAUUCGCAGAGUUUAAUUGCACGCCGGAAACAAUUUGCCGAAAUUCAUAAUCUAUCAUAUCAGGAACAUCUGAAGAAAUGGACGUUGGAGAAUUUCAAAGCCAUUGGAUGGUUAAAACAAUCGAAUCGCUUUGGGGUUUACCACCAAGAAGUAAUCAUGAACAAUGCAAGGAAAAUGCACCGGAUACGAAUUUUCGACUUGAUAAUUAAAUUCGAAACUAUCAUAGAAAACAAAAAAAAACCAUUCUAUUCAGGACUGUCGUACGAAUUUCAGAAUUGAUAAAGGCCAGAUCAAUACAAAAAAAAAAUUUAUGAUAAUUUGUAUGUGUAUCAUUAUUUUUAUGAAAAAACAGUGAUGAAGAGGUGGUGGUUCUCACUUGUUCUUUUUGACUUAACCAGCCAAUUCAUUGUCAAGGAAAAUGUAAUGUUCCAGAAAAUCAAGGAAAUAGCAACUACAAGGUCAAAUUGGCUCAUUAAUUUUGUCGUAGACUUGGAUCCUUUUGAAUUAUUUCUUAAAAAAUAGAACAAGACUUGGGCAAAGCUUUUCUCGCUAUGAAAAAAGUUCACACAACUUCUAUGUUUUACACCCCAGACAAAAAAACACAUUUUGGCUACUAUCUUAAGUCUACAAAGGGAGGUUGAAGGAUUAAAUCGGACUAAAGAUUAUCUCCGUUCACAAUUCAAUGAUUACAAAUCUUUAUAUUACGACGAAACGGCAAAGUUUAGAACUAAACGUAGCUUAUUUCCUAUUAUAGGCAAAGCAUUAAUUUUUCUAUUUGGUACUGUAUCAGAUUGAUUGAUUGUUAGUUGCUUAACGUCAGUACUGUAUCAGACAGCGACUUGUCAAAAAUUCGAAGAAAUAUCAAAACUUUGGCACAAAAUCAAGAUGCAAUUCGUCAUAUUGUUCAAGAUGGGUUAACUAUUUUGAACACUACACAAACACAUGUUUCUGAAAAUAGACACAAGGUCAAUGAGCUAAUUGAAAGUGUUGAAGAACUGGGAAAUAGGCUACUAUUGUAAUAGAAUUCUGCAAUUUAUUUGUUUCAUAUAGUUUUUGAUUAAUUUAUGUAUGGUCAUUUGUUACAGUUAUUUAUCAUGUUUAUCGACUUUUAUGUAUAAAGUGAAAAGUAAAUAUCAGCGGUCACUUUAAAUUAUCUUGGGGCAAAUAGAAUAUUUAAUAUCAGGUUGUCAGAAUGACCUCUAUUCAUUUAUAACAUUGAUGUUAUGCAAUUUUAUCUUCAGUUCUGACCGAAAUUGACUAUUACUUAAUUUUGAGGGAAAAAUGACAAGUAGCAUGUGUUUGGACAAUGGUCAAACUACGCAGGCAAUUUUGAGUGGUUUUAAGCUAUUUGAACAGAAUAAAUUAGUAAUAUUGACAUUUAUAAAUAUCUUAAAUUAUAUAAAUUAUGAUUGUUGUAUAUUAUGUUGUGUAUAUUUUUUUAGUAACAAAUUGUUCUUUAUUAUAAAAGAAAAAUGUUUAUUAAUAUGUUUGAAAUAUAAUUUGGUUAAUUUUGAAAUAAGAAAUAGAAGUAAUUUAAGAAAAACUAUUUUUAUAUAAUUUUGAGUUUUGGCCUGGUUCUUGACCAUUACCAUAUUUGGUCAUUCUAAUUUCAUUUUUCAUUUGCAUAUUCGGUUGUUUUGACAAUUAGUUUGUAAUCAAUGGAAAACAUUAUUUAUAGAUCCGAACCGAAUACUAUAUAAAGUGAAUCAAGCCGCUUUUACAUUAAUUGCGGGUUUCUUGAUAUUUCUAGGUGAGUUCUUAGUUUGGAAAUAAUUUAUAUUUAAAAUUAUUUUUCUUUUUAUUUUAUUUUGGAAAAGUUAAAUAAAAUUUAUAAGUAACUGAUAUUUUUUAAUUUACAAAGUUUAAAUUUAUAACAAUAAUUAUUAUAUUAUUCAACAAUUUAUUGUAAUUAUAUGUUGUAUUUUAUUAUUGUUUUCAAUUUAUUUUAACUUUGAAAUAAUAUUGUAAAAUUAUAUUGUCAUUACUUUAAUGUUUUCUUUAUUAAAUUAAUUGCGGGUUUCUUGAUAUUUCUAGUUUGGUUUUCUUUCCUGUUGCGUUCCAGCGUUCCCAGCCUUUCUACCGUGAGACUUACCCCUCAAUUGUGCUGUAAAGCAAUACAAUUGGAACACGAAAAAUAACAACACAAUAGAAUGGUGAGGACCUUCUAAAAACCAUGUUUUCAACAGGAAGACACCAAAAGGAAAAACGCCUAUAAACUACCAACAGCUUGAUACGGCAUUUGAGAGGUUACAUUUUGGACAACUUGAAGACAGAGAAGAGACUGUUGUCUUUAAUACUAAUAAAGAAAACUACUACAAGCAUAGUGACGAUACCACGGUUCCACUCGAGCAGCCACCGAGAUACCAUUCGUCGCCAGACUCGCAAAUUUUUCAACAACCUUACAUUCCUGCUUGGGAGAAAUCUUCUCUCCCAUCUCCAAUUAAACCAAUUCGGCCAUCAGUGGUGCUGAAACCAAAAUUUCCGGCUUCCUUGGCAACAAGAGCACCAAAACCAAUAUUGAAGACGCCAGCGCAAUUCUCAGCUCUAUAUCCGACAUUGCCACCUUCAUCAUUGCCACCAGCGGCACCAGUUUCACAGUUAAUUUCGACCGGACCAGCUGCUCAACUAAUUUCGGCUGCGGCACCAGCUUCGUCAUCAUCUGCUUUCUCGUUAAUCCCUGCUUUGACAACGUCAGUACCAACUACAGCGGCUACAACUUACAACUUCUUCAGGAGCCACAUCUACUACACCAGGUACAGUGCAACCUUCUACGAACAUUUUUAACAUGUCAUCUAUUUUAAAAAUUGAAAAAUUUAAGGGUGAUAAUUCACAAAAUCCAGAGACUUGGUUAACAAAUUUUAAUCAAUAUUGUUCUUUCUAUGAUUUGUCAAAGAAAAAAAGUUCAGAGUCAUUUCCAUUUCAUUUAGAUGGUCAUGCUAAAAUUUGGUAUGAUACCAUAUCUGAUGCAAAGAAACAAAAUUUUGAUCAAUUGAUCCUUGCUUUUAAGGAUAGAUUUAAAGAUAAACAACAUCUUUUAGAUAUAACUAUCUUACAAACGCAUCAGGGAAGAAAUGAGUCUGUACUAGAUUUCUUAUCUAGAUUGUUAAAAUUAGCUACAAACAGGAAUAUAUCUGAUGAUAUAUUGCUGGCAGUAGCAAUGAAUGGUUUAAAGGCCGAUUUAAAAACAAUUGUCAUGACUAAGGAACCUAAAAAUAUUGAAGAAUUUAGGCAUGCCGCUAAUUUAGCAGAAAAAGCAAUUGAUUCUAAUGUAAAUUCUUUAAAUUCAAUGAAUCAAACUGUCUUAAAUGAGAUACACUCCUUAAGAGAACAUAUUCAAACUAUGAAUGUAAACAGUCCAACAACUACACAAAAUCAAUCUUAUCAACCUCCUUCAAACCCUCCAAAUACUGUUUAUGUUCAACAGCCCGUUUAUCAAAGUCCAAGGGUACCAAAUCAGCCAAUGCAUCAAUCAAAUAGGUUUAGGUCACCUCAAAAUCAAUAUCCUCGCCAAAGAUUUAAUAGGAUGCCUCCACGCCAACCUUACAAUCAAAAUUUUCGACAACCAAUUCGUUAUCAAGAUCAGUCACAAACAUCGUUUCAACGAUGUUCUUAUUGCAAUGGGUUUUGUCAAAAUAGGUCUUACUGUCCAGCUAGGGGAGUAGUUUGUCAUAUGUGUAACAAGAUAGGACAUUUUGCCAAAGCUUGUUCAUUUCAAGGAGAAUGCAAACACAAUAGCAAUCCAGACCUGUUCGAAUGUUUACUUUGGACAGGCAUACAAAACAGAACAAUAAAUUUAAAAAGUAUUGUUCAAAACAAAAAACUUGUUCAAAACAAGAAAAUUCAAAUUCAGAAUCAAAUAGAUUUGUUACUGAAAUGCAUCAAUGUCUCAUUCCAAUAAAUUUUGGUUAUUUAAAGAUAAGAGCAUUAAUCGAUACGGGUUCAUCAAUAUGUGCGAUAAAUGAAAAAACCUUCUUAAAAUCAAAAUUUGCAAACAAUCAAUUAUUUACUUCAGAUAUUAAACACAUUGUUGGAGCCGGUGGAGCUACCUACCCAGUUAAAGGCAAAAUUAAAGUAGAUUUUGAAUUAGGUGGUGUAAUUCUUUCUCAAAUUUUUUAUAUUAUACCAGCUUUAAGACAUUCAAUGAUUUUAGGAAUAGAUUUUUGCAAAGAAAAGAGUGUUUGUUUAAACUGGAACACAAAUAAAUUAUCUUUGAUUAAAGAUUCAGUUACAGUCAAUGUAAUAAGAGUAACACCAGGUUAUGCUAGGGUUAAUAGAAACUGUUCAAUUCCUCCAAAUACAAUUACAAAUGUUUGUGUUAGAUUAUCUAAAGCAUUGCCUAAUCGAAAUUAUCUAUUAGAACCAUUUAAAAAUCUAAAGUUAGAUUGUUUGACAGCUAGAUGUUUAAUCAAAAACAGGAACAACAAAGGGUAUUUACAAAUUUUAAAUAAUCAGGAUUAAUUUUGGCCACUAUCAAUGAUGUUGAUUCAAGUAAAAUAUUUACUUUAGAUGAGGACAAGUCAAUCAAUAAAUCUACAGUUUCAUCUGUGAAUUCUGUACAAACUGACCCAAAUAAAACAAAUCUUAAAUUUGAUUUAUCAAAAGCCGAUUUAACAGAUCAGCAAAAACAACAAUUAAAUAUAUUUCUAAAUAAAAACAGAGAUGUAUUUGCAACAAGUUUAGAAGAGUUAGGUAAAACUAAUGUUUAUAAACAUAAAAUUAAUACUGGAAAUGCCCCGCCUGUGAAAUCUCGUCCUUAUAGGACUUCACCAGCCGCUAAACAAGAAAUUCAAAAACAAGUUGGAGAACUUCUUAAAUAUGAUAUUAUAGAGCCAUCAACUAGUGAAUAUAGCUCACCAAUUGUUCUAGUUAAGAAAAAAGAUAACACUUGGAGACUCUGCAUUGAUUUUAGAAAUUUAAACAAACAAUCUAUUUUGAGGCAAUAUCCGUUGCCCCGUUUAGAUGAUGUUUUUGAUGCUAUAGGACAAUCAAACGCCAAAAUAUAUUCACGCCUUGAUUUGACAAUGGCUUAUUAUCAAAUGCCAAUGGACGAAGACUCAAAGCAUAAAACAGCCUUUGUCACUCAUGAUAAUCUAUAUCAAUUUAAAAGAAUGCCAUAUGGUUUAAAUAAUGCUUGUCAAAGUUUUCAAUCUUUAAUGACACAAGUUUUGAGAGGAUUAACAUGGAAACAUUGCUUAGUAUACGUUGAUGACGUAAUCAUUUGGUCAGAAAAUUUUGAAUCUCAUUUACAACAUUUAGAUUUAAUUUUUAAAAGAUUAAAAGAAGCAAAUUUAAAAUUAAGACCUAACAAAUGUGAUUUUGCUAAAUCAGAAAUUCUUUAUUUAGGACACAUUAUUUCUAAAGAAGGUAUUAAAGUUGACUCCUCAAAAACAAAUGCUGUUGAAACUUUUCCUAUUCCCAACAAUCAACAUGAUGUUAGAAGUUUUUUAGGUUUAUGCAACUACUAUAGAAAAUUUGUUAAGGGUUAUGCCAAAAUUGCAUCUCCUCUUAAUAGACUCCUUACUAAGGAUACACCAUUUAAAUGGACUACAGAUUGUCAAGAUGCUUUUAAAAAAUUAAAAGAAGCUUUAACAUCAACUCCAGUCUUAAAUUUUCCAAAUUUCAAUAAACCGUUUAUUGUUUCUUGCGACGCUUCAGGUUCAGCCAUUGGCUAUAUUUUAUCACAAAUUGGCGAAGAUCAAAAAGAACAUGUUAUUGGUUAUGGGGGAAGAGCCUUAACACCUGCAGAAAAAAAUUACACUGUUACAGAACAAGAAAUGUUAGCACUUGUCUCAGCUGUGGCGUAUUUUCAUGUUUAUCUUGUAACUAAUAAGUUUACUAUUUAUACAGACCACAAAGCUUUAACAUGGUUACAAACUAUUAAACACACAAAUUCCAGAUUGAUAAGAUGGGCAUUAAAACUUCAAGAAUACAAAUUUGAUGUUAUUCAUAGAUUAGGGUCGAGAAAUCAAAAUUGCGAUGCACUUUCAAGACGUAAUUAUGAAACACAAUUGGAAAACUCUGAUUCUUUAACUGAAAUUACAUUCAUUUACCCUGGAGAAACAUUAGAACAAGUUACAAACUCUGAGAAAGAAGUUCCAAUUUUAUCGUUAGAAGACAUUUCAUCUUUACAAAAAAAAUGCCCAUAUUUUGGACCUAUAAUUAAAUUUUUAGAAAAUGGAACUUUACCAGAUGACAAAAAGAGAGCACAAGCUAUACCGUAUGAAACUAGCCAAUAUGAACUUCUAAAUGAUACGUUGUAUCAUUUCUUUCAACCAAGAACUAAAACUAGAACUUCAAAACAUCAAUUAAUAAAGCAAGUAGCAAUUCCUGAACCAUUGCGUAAUGAUAUUUUAUUGUCAUUUCAUGAUCAAAAAGCCGGUGGUUCACAUUUAGGUGUACAAAGAACUUACGAAGCAAUUAAACAAAGAUAUUUUUGGCCAAAAAUGUAUCAAAAUGUUUAUGAUUAUGUUACUAGUUGUCAAAUUUGUCAAACUGUGAAAAAAGACAGUUCUGCUAAAAAAGCACCUUUAAAAUCAUUGCCAGUGCAAGGACCUUUUGUACGACUUCACAUGGACGUAUUAGGGGGGUUACCAACUUCAAAAGAUAAAUAUAAAAUAUACAUCUUGUUAGUAACAGAUUCUUUCUCACAUUGGUGUGAAGCUUUUCCAAUGAAAUCUCAAGAAGCCGAAGAAAUUGCAAACAUCUUAUAUUCUGAAAUUUUUACUAGAUAUGGAGCUUGUCGUUAUUUGGUAUCUGAUAGACAUGCAAGUAAUUUAAGCAAACUCGUCAACAUUCUAUGUAAAAUGUUCAAUGUAACACAGCAUUUUACAAGUUCGUAUCACCCGCAAAGCAAUGUAGCAUGUGAAAGAACUAAUUCUACAUUAGCUCAAUCAUUAAGAGCGUAUUGUUCUGAACAACAAACAACAUGGCCCGAAGUUUUACCUAGUAUUAUGAUGGCAUUUAGGAUGAGUCCUAGUACUCAAUCUACCGGGUUUUCGCCGUAUUAUAUGAUAUUUGGAAGAGAAUGCCUUUACCAAUAGAUACAGCAUUAAUUCCUGAAGAAUUAAUUACCCAAUCUCCAGAAAAAUAUAUUGAUCAAUUAAUAAAUAGAAUCAAAAUUAUUCAUGAUCUUGCUAAAACUAAUUUAGAAGAUGCUCAACUUAAAAGUAAAACAUACUAUGAUAAAUCAACUAGAGCACCAAAUUUCAAGGUCGGUGAUCAUGUUUUACUAAAACAAGAAAAAGUUCAGAUAGGAAAGAAAAAGAAAUUAGAACCUAAGUGGACAGGUCCUUUUUCUAUACUUGAAAAUAGGCAUGAUUUAAUUUACAAGUUACUAAAUUUAAAAACACUUAGGCCAGUAAAAUCAUUUAUCCAUGCAAACAGACUUAAACUAUAUAAAGAUCCGGAAGAUCAUAGACCACCUCCAAAUCUAUUAAUAAAUAAUGAUGAUUUAAAUAAUGAUCAAAGUAAUGGAAAUCAACAAGAUUCCGAUAAUUCAAAUGAUGAUUUGAGUGAAAAUGAGAGUCAUGAAGACAAUUCUCAAAGUGAUUUAAAUGAAUCAAACUCAAAUCAAAAUCAAGACAAAAAUGACGUAUGGUAUGAAGCUAUUAAAUUAUUAAAAUUAAAAUGGAUAACAGGAAAGAAAUAUUAUUUAGUUCAAUGGAAAGAUAAUUCAGACCCAUCAUGGGAACCACAAGAAAAUGUUAGUCAAGCAUUAAAGAUAGCAUUUCAUUCAGAUAAAGCGCGUAAAAAGUUAAAGAAAACAAAUAAAUAG
rnacentral:sRNA from 1 species